rnacentral:sRNA from 1 species
AAUUUUACGAAAAACUCUUUCUAAGGGCUUGAUUGAUUCUCCCUCUGCCACCCGCAAACGGGAUGUAGCGGUUGUUAGCGAUUGGCAUCAAUCAUACAAACUGCUAGAUACCGCUUUGGACCGCUCGAAAUCGCCAGAUUUCAAAAGCUCCUUCCCGCAAAUGUUUGCGGUUGCGGGCGGUAGCGGUUAGAUUAAAAAAAAAUUAAGA